rnacentral:rRNA from 1 species
GUUACUGCUAUCGGAGUUCGAUUAAGCCAUGCGAGUCUAAAGGUUUCUUCGGAAACCUUGGCGGACUGCUCAGUAACACGUGGAUAACCUACCCUUGGGACUGGAAUAACCCCGGGAAACUGGGGAUAAUACCGGAUAGAUCAGGGAUGCUGGAAUGCACCUUGAUCCAAAGCUCCGGCGCCCAAGGAUGGGUCUGCGACCUAUCAGGUUGUAGUGGGUGUAACGUACCUACUAGCCGACGACGGGUACGGGUUGUGAGAGCAAGAGCCCGGAGAUGGAUUCUGAGACACGAAUCCAGGCCCUACGGGGUGCAGCAGGCGCGAAACCUUUACAAUGUGCGAAAGCAUGAUAAGGGAACUCCGAGUGCCAGUAUCUAAUGCUGGCUGUCCUUGUGCCUAAAACGCACAAGAUAGCAAGGGCCGGGUAAGACCGGUGCCAGCCGCCGCGGUAACACCGGCGGCCCGAGUGGUAGCCGCUAUUAUUGGGUCUAAAGGGUCCGUAGCCGGUUCGAUAAGUCCUCUGGGAAAUCUGGUUGCUUAACAAUCAGACUGCCAAGGGAUACUGUCGAACUUGAGACCGGGAGAGGUAAGAGGUACUUCAGGGGUAGGAGUGAAAUCUUGUAAUCCCUGGGGGACCAUCUGUGGCGAAGGCGUCUUACCAGAACGGGUCUGACGGUGAGGGACGAAAGCUGGGGGCGCAAACCGGAUUAGAUACCCGGGUAGUCCCAGCCGUAAACGAUGCUCGCUAUGUGUCAGGUACGGUGUGACCGUAUCUGGUGCCGUAGGGAAGCCGUGAAGCGAGCCACCUGGGAAGUACGGUCGCAAGACUGAAACUUAAAGGAAUUGGCGGGGGAGCACUACAACGGGUGGAGCCUGCGGUUUAAUUGGAUUCAACGCCGGA